AAGUCGUAACAAGGUUUCCGUAGGUGAACCUGCGGAAGGAUCAUUAAUGAGUUCUUGACAUGGGUUGCAGCUGGUUCUCUUUAACCAAGAGAACAAUGUGCUCGCUCUGUUCAAUCCACUCUACACCUGUGCACUUAUUGUGGGUGUUGAUUGCGAGGAGGGGGGACUUGUUUCCCUUCCUUCAAGUCAACCUCACGUUUUACUACAAACUCAGUAUUAGAAUGUGUAUUGCAAUAUAAUGCAUUUAUAUACAACUUUCAGCAACGGAUCUCUUGGCUCUC
rnacentral:misc_RNA from 1 species